UCGGGAAACUGGUGCUAAUACCGCAUGAUACCUGAGGGUCAAAGGCGCAAGUCGCCUGUGGAGGAGCCUGCGUUCGAUUAGCUUGUUGGUGGGGUAAAGGCCUACCAAGGCGAUGAUCGAUAGCUGGUCUGAGAGGAUGAUCAGCCACACUGGGACUGAGACACGGCCCAGACUCCUACGGGAGGCAGCAGUGGGGAAUAUUGGACAAUGGGCGAAAGCCUGAUCCAGCAAUGCCGCGUGUGUGAAGAAGGUCUUCGGAUUGUAAAGCACUUUCGACGGGGACGAUGAUGACGGUACCCGUAGAAGAAGCCCCGGCUAACUUCGUGCCAGCAGCCGCGGUAAUACGAAGGGGGCUAGCGUUGCUCGGAAUGACUGGGCGUAAAGGGC
rnacentral:rRNA from 1 species